AAAUGAUAAAGGCAAAACCAUCGAAAGAUGGUGACGCAAAACUACAGGGGCUAAAGCGAUUCGCUAAGCCAGCCAGUUACCGAC
rfam:Paenibacillus yonginensis strain DCY84 chromosome, complete genome.